rnacentral:rRNA from 1 species
AAAGCAUCCGUAGCCGGCUUUGCAAGUCUCCGGUUAAAUCCACCUGCUUAACAGAUGGGCCGCUGGAGAUACUACAAAGCUAGGGAGUGGGAGAGGCGGACGGUAUUCGGGGGGUAGGGGUAAAAUCCUCUGAUCCUCCGAGGACCACCAGUGGCGAAGGCGGUCUGCCAGAACACGUUCGACGGUGAGGGAUGAAAGCUGGGGGAGCAAACCGGAUUAGAUACCCGGGUAGUCCCAGCUGUAAACGAUGCAAACUCGGUGAUGCAUUGGCUUAUGGCCAAUGCAGUGCCGCAGGGAAGCCGUUAAGUUUGCCGCCUGGGAAGUACGGACGCAAGUCUGAAA